rnacentral:rRNA from 1 species
UAAGGUAACGGCUUACCAAGGCUUUGAUGUUUAGGGGUCCUGAGAGGGUGAUCCCCCACACUGGUACUGAGACACGGACCAGACUCCUACGGGAGGCAGCAGUGAGGAAUAUUGGUCAAUGGGCGCAAGCCUGAACCAGCCAUCCCGCGUGCAGGAAGACGGCCCUAUGGGUUGUAAACUGCUUUUCCAGGGGGAGAAACUUGCGCACGUGUUGCGCAAUUGACGGUACCCUGGGAAUAAGCAUCGGCUAACUCCGUGCCAGCAGCCGCGGUAAUACGGAGGAUGCGAGCGUUAUCCGGAUUCAUUGGGUUUAAAGGGUGCGUAGGCGGACUAUUAAGUCAGUGGUGAAAUCCUGCAGCUUAACUGCAGAACUGCCAUUGAUACUGACAGCCUUGAGUUUGGUUAAGGUAGGCGGAAUGUGUAAUGUAGCGGUGAAAUGCUUAGAUAUUACACAGAACACCAAUUGCGUAGGCAGCUUACUGAGCCGACACUGACGCUGAGGCACGAAAGCGUGGGGAUCGAACAGGAUUAGAUACCCUGGUAGUCCACGCCGUAAACGAUGAUUACUCGCUGUUGGCGAUACACUGUCAGCGGCUAAGCAAAGCAAUAAGUAAUCCACCUGGGGAGUACGGCCGCAAGGUUGAAACUCAAAGGAAUUGACGGGGGCCCGCACAAGCGGAGGAACAUGUGGUUUAAUUCGAUGAUACGCGAGGACCUUACCUGGGCUUAAAUGUAGAGUGCAUUUUCUAGAGAUAGGAAUUCCUUCGGGGCUUUCUGCAGUGCUGCAUGUUGUCGUCAGCUCG